rnacentral:rRNA from 1 species
AUUAAACGCUGGCGGCAUGCCUUACACAUGCAAGUCGAACGGCAGCACGGGUGCUUGCACCUGGUGGCGAGUGGCGAACGGGUGAGUAAUAUAUCGGAACGUACCUUAUCGUGGGGGAUAACGCAGCGAAAGCUGUGCUAAUACCGCAUAAGCCCUAAGGGGGAAAGCAGGGGACCGUAAGGCCUUGCGCGAUUAGAGCGGCCGAUACCUGAUUAGCUAGUUGGUGAGGUAAAGGCUCACCAAGGCAACGAUCAGUAGCUGGUCUGAGAGGACGAUCAGCCACACUGGGACUGAGACACGGCCCAG